GGCGAGUGUAAUGGAGCUGUUAACACGUUAUCUCCUGUGUGACGGAGCAACGUCGGCCCCCACUGAGACCAGCUUCAGAGAGUUUAGGAGCAACAGGUUAAAAACUACCACUCAUGUGCUUCCAUGGAUUGUUCAUUUUCAUCAGUAAGACAGACAAACUGAGAGAUCGACAGACAGACCAAGAUAGAUAAAACCUUCCACUCUUCUGCGAAGCUUUCCACAAGAUGUUGAACAGUGUCUGUGGACAUUUCUGUCCAUUCU